rnacentral:misc_RNA from 1 species
GAUGAAGAACGUAGCGAAAUGCGAUAAGUAGUGUGAAUUGCAGAAUUCAGUGAAUCAUCGAAUCUUUGAACGCACAUUGCGCCCCUUGGUAUUCCAUGGGGCAUGCCUGUUCGAGCGUCAUUUGUACCUUCAAGCCUUGCUUGGUGUUGGGUGUUUGUCUCGCAUCUGCGCGCAGACUCGCCUCAAAACAAUUGGCAGCCGGCGUAUUGAUUUCGGAGCGCAGUACAUCUCGCGCUUUGCACUCAGAACGACGACGUCCAAAAGUACAUUUUUACACUCUUGACCUCGGAUCAGGUAGGGAUACCCGCUGAACUUAAGCAUAUCAAUAAGCGGAGGA